rnacentral:sRNA from 1 species
UAUUUUUGAAACUUUCUCAUCAAAUCCACAAAAAUUAAGCCCAUGAUUAGUGAAACUAUUACCGGUAUUAUAAUACACUAUUUGCUUCUCUUCUAAGAACUCUUCAAAAUUGUAACAUAACUUAGGUGUAAUGGUCUGUGUAGCAUAUCAUUAUCAUUUUACCAGCUGUAUUUCAUUAUUAAUACACACUGCUUUGUUUAAUGAUCUAGUCAAAAUUCAAACUUCUUAGAAAUCCAAAAUGGAAGAAAACAGGGAAAUUUAAUGUUCAGAAUAUGUAAUAAGGUACAUGUAUAUAUUAACUUAUUUAGCCAAGUACAAGGAUGUUUUAAUAAUCAAAAAAUAUUAAUGUUUUUUUCUGUACUAAACUACCAUAUACACUUGUAACAACUUAAUCUACUUCACAUUUCAGUUGAAAAAUCUUUUGUAUUUUGAGAUUUUUUUUGUUAUCUUAUUAAAAUGUACAAUGUAAUUUUAUUUUACACUAAGUCUUGCACUAUCAGUUUUCAAUAUUUACAGGUACAUACAGUAUAUAUUUACCAAACCUUAUUCAAAAUGGUAAAUACAUUUAAUUCAAAAUGAAUAGAAUUUUGCUACAUUAACACUGAUGUAUUGCACAUAUUCAAUAUGCUGUGCUUGUUUUGAAUAAUGAUAGCAAUCAAUAAAGUGGUGUUAAGUUG